AUUGAACGCUGGCGGCAGGCCUAACACAUGCAAGUCGAACGGCAGCGGGGGAUAGCUUGCUAUCCUGCCGGCGAGUGGCGGACGGGUGAGUAAUGCAUGGGGAGCUGCCCAGUCGAGGGGGAUAACAACUGGAAACGGUUGCUAAUACCGCAUACGCCCUUUGGGGGAAAGGUGGGGAACUUCGGUCCUACCGCGAUUGGAUGCGCCCAUGUGGGAUUAGCUAGUUGGUGAGGUAACGGCUCACCAAGGCGACGAUCUCUAGCUGGUCUGAGAGGAGGACCAGCCACACUGGAACUGAGACACGGUCCAGACUCCUACGGGAGGCAGCAGUGGGGAAUAUUGCACAAUGGGGGAAACCCUGAUGCAGCCAUGCCGCGUGUGUGAAGAAGGCCUUCGGGUUGUAAAGCACUUUCAGUCAGGAGGAAGGGGUGAUGGCUAAUAUCCAUCAUCAUUGACGUUACUGACAGAAGAAGCACCGGCUAACUCCGUGCCAGCCGCCGCAGUAA
rnacentral:rRNA from 1 species